GGUGCUAUGGGGUCUGAUCCAAGGGUGCUCUAAGGUCCAAUUCAGGGGUGUACAGGGUCGAAUUUGGGGUGCUAUAGGGGUCGAAUUUGGGGUGCUAUAGGGUCCAAGUCUAAUGAGCUAAGGGGACCCCCUCGGGGUGCUAUGGGGUCUGAUCUAAGGGUGCUAUAGGGUCCAAUUAGGGGUGUAUGGGGUCGAAUUUGGGGUGCUAUAAGGUCCAAGCCUGAUGCACUAAGAGGACCCCCCCAGGGUGCUAUGGGGUCUGAUGCAAGGGUGCUCUAGGGUCCAAUUCAGGGGUGUAUCGGGGUCCAAGCCUGAUGCACUAAGAGGACCCCCCCAGGGUGUUACAGGGUCUGAUGCAAGGAUGCUCUAGGGUCCAGCCUGGGGUGUAUGUGGUCUAAUUUCAGUGUGUUUUGGGGUCCUUUAGGG